AGCAGCCGCGGUAAUUCCAGCUCCAAUAGCGUAUAUUAAAGUUGUUGCAGUUAAAAAGCUCGUAGUUGAAUUUCGGGGUUAGUAGGUUGGUCAUGCCUCUGGUAUGCACUGGCCUCACUGAUUCCUCCUUCCUGAUGAGCCGUAAUGCCAUUAAUUUGGUGUUGCGGGGAAUUUGGACUGUUACUUUGAAAAAAUUGAGUGUUUAAAGCAGGCUCGCGCUUGAAUACAUUAGCAUGGAAUAAUGAAAUAGGACGUUUGAUUCUAUUUUGUUGGUUUCUAGGAUCGACGUAAUGAUUAAUAGGGAUAGUUGGGGGCAUUAGUAUUCAAUUGUCAGAGGUGAAAUUCUUGGAUUUAUUGAAGACUAACUACUGCGAAAGCAUUUGCCAAGGAUGUUUUCAUUAAUCAAGAACGAAAGUUAGGGGAUCGAAGACGAUCAGAUACCGUCGUAGUCUUAACCAUAAACUAUGCCGACUAGGGAUCGGAUGAUGUUAAUUUUUAAUGACUC
rnacentral:rRNA from 1 species